GUUCCCUGUGAUGUUCUUAUCCAAACCAUGCUAAUUCUGAAUCAUUUUUUGAUUGAAAUUUGUAAAUUAUCAUUUUCUGAGGGAACA